UACCGUCAAUGCCUCUCGCAAGAGUCGUUUCUUCCUGUAUAAAAGCAGUUUACAACGCAUAACGCCUUCAUCCUGCACGCGGCAUGGCUGGGUCAGACUUGCGUCCAUUGCCCAAUAUUCCCUACUGCUGCCUCCCG
rnacentral:rRNA from 1 species